AUGGGACUCCUCUUCAGCUGCGUUGAAUCGGCAGAGCUCCUCGAUGUGGCAAGGUGCUCCUGCUCAGCCCCCGGGGGAAGAUGCUCCUUCCUCAAACUGGUGGAUGAGGAUGCAGUUGGGGUCAAUACAAGCAACUUCAGAGGAAGUCACUGCUUGAUUAUAAGACUACGGCUUUGGACUGCAGAGGACAGAGUGUGCGAGGAAAACGAGCACUUCUGGGCCAUCCGCAAGCAGCGGACACCCUCUGAAUAUCAUAUGGGAGAGCCUGGGAGCGUGGGUCCAAACCUCCCCGGAGCACGAAGGGGCCGAGAAGAGGACGGAUCGACCGGCAUGCUGCCUGUGCGGCACUACCAGGGGGGGAAAAUUAGCAGGAGGAGAUCAGAGGAAGAUAAGCGAGGAGCGAGCCGCUUCCCCGAGACCUUCCACUGCGGAUCCGCGAGGGAACAUCAGACGCGUUAAAAAAACCAAAACAAACCCAAACACGGCGUUCAAGCCAGCACAAGGCGAGCGAAAGAUCAAAAAGACGCGGAGAGAGAGAAAGGCAGAGAGGGAGACAGAUUAACUGGAGCGGCAGCGGCAGCAACAACAACAACAAAAAUCACACUUAAAAUCAUAAUAACAAUAACAACAAUAAUAAACCCCAAACCACCGGCA
rnacentral:lncRNA from 1 species